rnacentral:rRNA from 1 species
GAUGAACGCUGGCGGCGUGCUUAACACAUGCAAGUCGAGCGGGGUUAUAUGAGAAAACCCUUCGGAGCGGGAUUAUAUAACCUAGCGGCGGACGGGUGAGUAACGCGUGGGUAACCUGCCCUACACUAGGGGAUAACGUAGAGAAAUUUACGCUAAUACCGUAUAAGCUCCCGGUAUCCAAAGAUAUUGAGAGAAAAGUUCCGGCGGUGUAGGAUGGGCCCGCGUCUGAUUAGCUAGUUGGUGAGGUAAAGGCUCACCAAGGCGACGAUCAGUAGCCGGUCUGAGAGGAUGAACGGCCACAUUGGGACUGAGACACGGCCCAAACUCCUACGGGAGGCAGCAGUGGGGAAUAUUGCACAAUGGGGGAAACCCUGAUGCAGCGAUGCCGCGUGAAGGAUGAAGGCUUUCGGGUCGUAAACUUCUAUCAGCAAGGAAGAAAAGGGACAGUACUUGACUAAGAAGCCCCGGCUAACUACGUGCCAGCCGCCGCAGUAACAC